UACGUAGGGUGCAAGCGUUGUCCGGAAUUACUGGGCGUAAAGCGCGCGUAGGCGGCUUUGCAAGUCAGAGGUGAAAGCCUGGAGCUCAACUCCAGAACUGCCUUUGAAACUGCAUCGCUAGAAUCGUGGAGAGGUUAGUGGAAUUCCGAGUGUAGAGGUGAAAUUCGUAGAUAUUCGGAAGAACACCAGUGGCGAAGGCGACUAACUGGACAUGUAUUGACGCUGAGGUGCGAAAGCGUGGGGAGCAAACAGG
rnacentral:rRNA from 1 species